UGGGGAAUAUUGGACAAUGGGCGAAAGCCUGAUCCAGCCAUGCCGCGUGUGUGAAGAAGGCCUUUUGGUUGUAAAGCACUUUAAGUGGGGAGGAAAAGCUUAUGGUUAAUACCCAUAAGCCCUGACGUUACCCACAGAAUAAGCACCGGCUAACUCUGUGCCAGCAGCCGCGGUAAUACAGAGGGUGCAAGCGUUAAUCGGAAUUACUGGGCGUAAAGCGCGCGUAGGUGGUUAUUUAAGUCAGAUGUGAAAGCCCCGGGCUUAACCUGGGAACUGCAUCUGAUACUGGAUAACUAGAGUAGGUGAGAGGGGAGUAGAAUUCCAGGUGUAGCGGUGAAAUGCGUAGAGAUCUGGAGGAAUACCGAUGGCGAAGGCAGCUCCCUGGCAUCAUACUGACACUGAGGUGCGAAAGCGUGGGUAGCAAACAGGAUUAGAUACCCUGGUAGUCCACGCCGUAAAGAUGUCUACCAGUCGUUGGGUCUUUUAAAGACUUAGUGACGCAGUUAACGCAAUAAGUAGACCGCCUGGGGAGUACGGCCGCAAGGUUA
rnacentral:rRNA from 1 species